GUGAGUAACGCGUUGGUGACCUGCCCCAAAGUGUGGGAUAACAGUCCGAAAGGAUUGCUAAUACCUCAUGUGGUCAUCGGGUUUAGAAACCGAUGACUAAAGCAGCAAUGCGCUUUGGGAGGGGCCUGCGUCCCAUCAGCUAGUUGGUGAGGUAAUGGCUCACCAAGGCGACGACGGGUAGGGGACCUGAGAGGGUGGCCCCCCACAAUGGAACUGAAACACGGUCCAUACACCUACGGGUGGCAGCAGUAGGGAAUAUUGCUCAAUGGGCGAAAGCCUGAAGCAGCAACGCCGCGUGCGCGAUGAAGGUCUUCGGAUCGUAAAGCGCUUUUAUGAGGGAUGAGAAAGGACAGUACCUCAGGAAUAAGUCUCGGCUAACUACGUGCCAGCAGCCGCGGUAGAACGUAGGAGGCAAGCGUUAUCCGGAUUCACUGGGCGUAAAGCGCGUGCAGGCGGUUCGGUAAGUUGGGCGUGAAAUCUCCUGGCUUAACAGGGAGAGGUCGUCCAAUACUACCGGACUUGAGAGUGAUAGAGGAAGAUGGAAUUCCCGGUGUAGUGGUGAAAUGCGUAGAUAUCGGGAGGAACACCAGUGGCGAAAGCGAUCUUCUGGAUCAUUUCUGACGCUCAGACGCGAAAGCUAGGGUAGUAAACGGGAUUAGAGACCCCGGUAAUCCUAGCCGUAAACGAUGUAAACUUGGCGUUGGUGGCUUAAACACCAUCAGUGCCGCAGCUAACGCGAUAAGUUUACCGCCUGGGGACUACGAUCGCAAGAUUAAAACUCAAAGGAAUUGACGGGGAC
rnacentral:rRNA from 1 species